rnacentral:misc_RNA from 1 species
UAAUCUCACUACAACCGCCUUUUUGUUGUUGUAUGUGGACUUGGAUGUUGCCGUGUAACAAACGGCUCGUCUGAAAUGCCUGAGUGUACCCUGCUUUGCGGCGUAUUCGGUGUGAUAAAUCUUCACCGGAGUUGACUCUCAGGUCACGUCCGCUUGACAUGGCUCUAUGCUUCCAACCGUCCUGAUAAGACAAUCUUUGACA